UACGGGGGGGGGCAAGCGUUGUUCGGAAUUACUGGGCGUAAAGGGCUCGUAGGCGGCCAACUAAGUCAGACGUGAAAUCCCCAGGCUUAACCUGGGAACUGCGUCUGAUACUGGAUGGCUUGAAUCCGGGAGAGGGAUGCAGAAUUCCAGGUGUAGCGGUGAAAUGCGUAGAUACCUGGAGGAAUACCGGUGGCGAAGGCGGCAUCCUGGACCGGCAUUGACGCUGAGGCGCGAAAGCUAGGGGAGCGAACGGG
rnacentral:rRNA from 1 species